UGCUACAAAGUUUGGCUUUCAUUUUUUAUUUAUUUAUUAUUAUUUUCAUUAUUGAGUUCAAGCAUGUGUUGUUGAUGAAUUUCACUUAUCUUUCUUCAUUUUUUUAGUUUUAUUUAUUAAUCUAACAUUGUGGUAUGAAUUACUUUUGAAAAAUUUAGUCAAAUUUGUUAAGUUGAUCCUAAUCCUACUGGAUGAAUCAGUAUUGAAACUGAAGCUGGUGAUCUAUUCUACCAGUUUUUUUUUUCCUUGCAGGUUACAUACACUAGUAUCAUUCAUUGGAUUCUCAUCCUGAUGUUUUAUAGUCAUUAUAUUCUCCCCUUCUGCCAUCAAGUUCUUUGGAAGGGCUGAGUUUACAUUAGUGCAAUUAGCUGCUCAGAUUCGACCACACCUCAGAGGCACUACUUCUUACUCCUUGGUUGGAUCAUGGAAGUUUGCAUGAUGAAAUUGUUUCUGACAUCUCCUUGUAAAGAUUCAAUAAGUUAAAUUAAAGAUCAUUUUUUUUUUGUUUUUUUUUGUUUGUUGUUAUUGUUUUGGGUUAGUAAUCUGAUUUUUUGAAAAUUUAGUUACUAUUCUGAAAUCAUAGGAAAUGGUUACAAAAGGCUUCACUAUGAACUAGGUGCGUGUGCUCUAUGUGCUGACUUGAAAUCCAAACAAAUCUUAAGAAUUUACUUGGGGCUUUUGUAGGCAAUAGUUAAACCAAAUAUUGGAAUCCAACAUUUCAAUUUAUUUCUCCACUUUAAACUUCAGAUAUUUAAAAUCUAAAUUCUUUUUGGAUUUUUCUCAAAAUACAACUCUUUUUGGUUUUCCUUUGGGAUCUUUGUAUGUUUACUUAGAUUGGAUAUUCAAAGGCAACACAAACUUUUUCUAAAAAAUUGAAAGAGUUAACCCAAUCAAAUACAUUUUUAAGUAUGCAAAAGGAAUGAUGCAACUUUUAGCAACUUUUUUUAUUUUUAUUUUUAGUGUGAUGAGAUCAAUUAUUUAUGUGAUGAGAUCAACUCUUAGUUAGAUGAUAUAUAACUGAUUUUUUAUGUGAUGAGGUAAAUUUUGUAAGCACGUUUUGCUUCUCAAAUAACUUUUUACCAUCCAACCCCAAAAUGGAAACACAAAUCAAAUCUGAAUAAACAUCAUGCUGUAUGUACAUUUUGGAGUGCAUGAAUAACCGUAUUUUUAGUUGAAAAGGUAAUUGAUGGCGUCUUUGUUUACUUCAACAUUCUCAGGCUUGCAAAAAAAUGUCUAAGAACCUUGCUUAGAUGCAGACUAUACAAGAACAGGUUUGCUUACAUAAUAGCCAUCUCCUUGUGCUUGCAUGGGUUUGUCUUAGAGACUUACUUAGAAUUUUUGCUUUGUUUGGCAAGUCCAUGAUAUUAAAUUUGUGUUACAAAAUAUGGGGGGGUUUUCUUUUAUGCCCUAAAAUCUAACCUUCUUUUAACAAUAUUAUUUAUUAUAUGUUUAUAUCCAUAUGAGAAAUUCCUGGAAGCUUUGUUUUUAUUUGAUCCAACAUUCUUUACAUGGGAUAGACUGGAAUGUUCAUUUUAUUUAAUCAGGUUUACCUCCAGAGGUUAUCCUUGCACUAACUCUUUGUGAUGACCUAUUUCAACCAGGCAUGCAAGUAAUUGCUUCUACCAAGAUGGGUUAAUCUAAAGUUGCAUUGGCACCUUUAAUAGGUGAAUUCUACCAAAGCGAUCGAAAAAUUUGUUAAGGUUCUAAAAGUUAAGCAGAGUGAUGAAGAAAUGAUAGAUAAGUCGCUUGAGGCUAAGCUUGUUGAACGGCAAGGAAAAGGCACUUUCUCUUUACUUGGAGAGUUCAUGUUCUUACAAUUUAUCCUAAACCUGAAAUUAGAAAAUGUUCAUCUCAAUGGAACAAUUGGAUGAAAUAAGAAAGCAGUUAGAAAAGGAAAGAGAUUUUGGGUUGAAUGAAUUUUGUUUGAUAUUGGAUUGAAUGUUUAUAAACAAAAACUGAUUGUUCUAAAAAAAAGAAAAGAAAAAAAAGAGAGAUUUGGCGA